rnacentral:rRNA from 1 species
AGUAGCGGCGAGCGAACAGGGAAGAGCCCAGCACCGAAUCCCGCGUUCGAUUACGGGCGCAGGGAAAUGUGGUGUUUGGGAGGAUCCGUUAUCCCGAGGUUGUGCGGUGCGUCCAAGUCCUUCUUGAACGGGGCCAUUUACCCAUAGAGGGUGCCAGGCCCGUAGCGACCGCCGCCGAUCGCGGGAGGAUCUCUCCUUAGAGUCGGGUUGCUUGAGAGUGCAGCCCUAAGUGGGUGGUAAACUCCAUCUAAGGCUAAAUAUGACCACGAGACCGAUAGCGAACAAGUACCGUGAGGGAAAGUUGAAAAGAACUUUGAAGAGAGAGUUCAAUAGUACGUGAAACCGUUCAGGGGUAAACCUGAGAAACCCGAAAGAUCGAAUGGAGAGAUUCAGCGCGUUUCUCGGUUGACGAGUCGCGUAUGUGACGACUCGCAUCGCUUCGGCGGCGCUUGCGUCCGUCGCGUCCGUCAUCGGCCGGGAACGCGUGCACUUCUCUCCUAGUAGAACGUCGCGACCCGUUGGGUGUCGGUCUAAGGACCGCGGCGGAGACCGCGCGCAUUUUUCGCGAGAUGCGUGCGAACCCGCGGAUUCCCGACCGACUUGCCCGACGGUUUACCAUAUGGGCGCUGGGCCGCAAAAACGUUUGCGUCCGGUCCGUCACAAGCGCGUGUCGGCUGUAUUUGGGACGUCGGACUUCGUGUGCCGGCCCCGAACCCGCGCGGCUGUUGGUGGCGUGAUCCUCGGACAGUGCCUGUAAUUACGCGCGCCGGUCCGCGACGCUAUAGCUUUGGGUACUUUCAGGANNNNNNNNNNNNNNNNNNNNNNNNNNNNNAGCAUAUGCGCGAGUCAUUGGGACUGACAAAGCCUAAAGGCGAAAUGAAAGUAAAGGCAAACUUGAAAAGUUAGCCUAGGGAGGAUGGGUCGCGUCGAGGCGCGACCCCGCACUCCCGGGGCGUCUCGUUCUCAUUGCGAGUUGAGGCGCACCCAGAGCGUAUACGCUGCGACCCGAAAGAUGGUGAACUAUGCCUGAUCAGGACGAAGUCAGGGGAAACCCUGAUGGAGGUCCGGAGCGAUUCUGACGUGCAAAUCGAUCGUCGGAAUUGGGUAUAGCGGCGAAAGACCAAUCGAACCAUCUAGUAGCUGGUUCCCUCCGAAGUUUCCCUCAGGAUAGCUGGCGCUCGUUGUAUGCGAGUCUCAUCCGGUAAAGCGAAUGAUUAGAGGCAUUGGGGUCGAAACGGCCUCAACCUAUUCUCAAACUUUAAAUGGGUGAGAUCUCCGGCUUGCGCAAACGCUUGUGAAGCCGCGAGAUCGGAUCAGAG